UUAAGAGCUCCAUUGGUUAUUUUUAUAAUUUUUACCAACCUUCAAUUUUUGUAUCGGUGAGUAGUGUGAUAUUUUUACUAGGCUAGUGUAGCUCACCGCUUCAUUAACUAUUUCAUAUCAAGAGAAUCAAGAUCCAUAUCCCGAUCAACAAGGGGGUUGUGAAUAGUUCACCACCCGGACUCCUUCAAAAGCUAGUGAAGGUCGUCCUAAAA
rnacentral:lncRNA from 1 species